rnacentral:rRNA from 1 species
ACCCCAGACUCCUACGGGAGGCAGCAGUGGGGAAUAUUGCACAAUGGGGGGAACCCUGAUGCAGCGACGCCGCGUGGGUGAAGGAGUAUUUCGGUAUGUAAAGCCCUAUCAGCAGGGAAGAACAAUGACGGUACCUGACUAAGAAGCACCGGCUAAAUACGUGCCAGCAGCCGCGGUAAUACGGAGGAUGCGAGCGUUAUCCGGAUUUAUUGGGUUUAAAGGGUGCGCAGGCGGCACGGCAAGCCGGCGGUCAAAUCGCGGGGCUCAACCCCGCCCAGCCGUCGGAACUGCCGGGCUAGAGUGGGCGAGAAGUGCGCGGAAUGCGUGGUGUAGCGGUGAAAUGCAUAGAUAUCACGCAGAACUCCGAUUGCGAAGGUAGCGCACCGGCGCCCUACUGACGCUCAGGCACGAAAGCGUGGGUAUCGAACAGGAUUAGAUACCCUGGUAU